rnacentral:rRNA from 1 species
GAUGAACGCUAGCUACAGGCUUAACACAUGCAAGUCGAGGGACCGGCGCACGGGUGAGUAAAACGGAUCCAACCUGCCCUUUACUCGGGGAUAGCCUUUCGAAAGAAAGAUUAAUACCCGAUAUAAAGGAUGGGGAUGCGUUUCAUUAGGUUGUUGGUGAGGUAACGGCCCACCAAGCCUUCGAUGGAUAGGGGUUCUGAGAGGAAGGUCCCCCAGAUUGGAACUGAGACACGGUCCAAGCUCCUACGGGAGGCAGCAGUGAGGAAUAUUGGUGAAUGGGCGCUUGCCUGAACCAGCCAAGUAGCGUGAAGGAUGAAGGCUUAUGGGUCGUAAACUUCUUUUAUAUAAGAAUAUGUAUUAUAUGAAUAAGGAUCGGCUAACUCCGUGCCAGCAGCCGCGGUAAUAC